UUUCGAUGGGGCAGGAAGACUAGAGCAGAGGUACACGGAUAAAGGGGUACACGGAUAAAGGGGUACCAUUAGUAUUUGGUGGGGUACAUAAACGAACACCCUUGCAAAUAGACGGCCUUGACUAAAUAGAACCAAGCGUCUUCUUCCCAAGUCCCAAACAUUUGUGAAAUAAACCCUAACUCAAUUCUACGGAAUACAGAGCAAUAAGAUCCCAGCAAAAUACCAGGUAGAACACUCAAAAUGACUUCGAAACUAAGCAAACAAUUCCUCCGAUCAAACGCAAGUUUUCUUCUUUGCCGUGAAAACCCAUCCAAAUUCACCGGUCUCCGGACCGAACCAGUCUUCAUGGUUCCAGCAGUCCCAGGCCAACCAAAACAAGACGAUUUAAACCCACCUAGAAUGAAAAUCCUAGAACGUUUCUUCAUAGAUUUAGUCGCCGGUGACCAAAUCUCACAAGAUCGUGCAUCGUCAAGAUUCACAUCAUUAGUUGGAUCCACAGAUGAAAUGUCCUUAGAAAGGAGGAACCGAGCAUGGAGUGAACUGAAUAUGUGUUGGAGAAAGAAUGUCAAAGUGAAAGGUUUUAUUAUGGAGAAAAUUAGAGGUGGGUUUAGUGUUGGGAUUGCUGGGUUCAUUGCAUUUAUGCCCCUAAGACGUAUGACUGGUAAUUUUGGUGGUGGGAUGGGUGUGUUACCCGAUCGGUUUAUCAUUGAAACUAUUGAUGUAAAGAAGAUGAAGAUUGUUGUUUCACCUGCCCAACAACCCUUUAAGAUUAGAAAAGAGGACAUGGACAAGUUUUGGAAACCCAUGACAAUGCCGUUGCCUACAGCUAGUACAUUGUUUCUAAAUACAAGUAAAGUAUAAGCACUAAGCAGACGCAAGGCCAGCUCAAAAGUGGGGAAAUGGAUAUCAAUCUCCUUACUAUUACAUGGAUGCGGAUCGCAAUAACCACGUGGAUCGCAAUAACCACGUAUAUGAUUCAAACGAUAUUGCUGGUGUUUAGUUUCUUAAAGUUAUGUUGCAUUUAAUUUUAGAAUGAUAGCAAUUUGUUUUUUGAAAUUGAAAUUAGAGUUUCUGAUUCACCUUUGCUAUUUUUUCUUGUUGCCUUUGAUUAUUAGUCAGGUGUUGAAUCAGUUAUCUGAAAAAUAAUUAAUUUAUAGUACAUAAACAGAAUAUCAUUUUAUUCCGUGUCAUUUCAGACUACUACUUUGCAAUCAGUAUUUGUGUUUACUCUUGAUAAUUUUGCAUUUAGUACGGUCCUCACAAGGUUAUAUCACAAUGUAGUAGCGAUGUAGGUGUCAUGGAGGUUCUGGUAGAAGAGAUUAAGCAAAUAGUAUCUUUUGGCACAGCAAAAUCCUGUUCACAGAUCAAGAUAUUCAGCUGAGCUUAGGCUGCACAGGAACUCAAGUUGAUGUAUAGAAAAUCAAGUGCAUGAUCUUAAGCUCAUGCAGUCUGACUCUCAAGUUCAUAUUCAUCGGAAAGAUGCCGCUGAGAUAGUCCUAAGCUCGUGCACAGAAUACCAUUAUGUGGAUGGCUCCUGCAAAACAAUGGAUGAGAGCAUGGGAAAGUAUUUUAAGGGCGCUAUUUCAAAAACGGCUGCUCGUUGUGUUGCUCUUGCCUACAGAUCACAUGAGAUAGAGAAUGUUCCAAAAGAUGAAGGUAGUUUGGCAGAGUGGGUUAUCCGUGAAUAAGAACUAGUUUUCUUGGCUAUCAUCGGGUUAACGAUGACGAAUCACUUUCUCUGUCUCCUCUCCUUCUCUUUCCACGUGAAUGUUUCUUCUCGAUCCUUGUUGGCCAGGAGUUAGAGAAGCCGUAGAACUGUGUACCAAGGCUGUUGUUAAGGUACGCAUGGUAUCCGGAGACAACAUUCAAACUUCAAAAGCAAUAACUCUGCAGUGUGGAUUUCUUGCUUCUGAUGUGGAUGCUACACAGCCAACUCUCACUGAAGGAAAGAGGUUUUUUGAGUUGUCUGAAUCCGAAAGAGAAGAAGUUGCUGGAAAAUUUUCGGUAAUGGGAAGGUCUUCUCCCAGUAACAAGCUAUUAAAGCACUGAAGAAAAGAGGUCAUGUUGUUGCCGUGACUGGGGAUGGCACCAACGCCGCUUCUGCACACUGAAAGAGGUAAGAAGUUUGCUACUAUUUUCAUUGCACCCACUUGAUUUGUGAAAUUCUUUUGCGUCUUGACAUUACCUUGUAGGCCUGUUCCACGUGCAUGUGGAUGGUGCUGGGACAAUAUGCAACUGCUUUGUUGGAAGAACAUCUACCAUGAAAAUAAAUUAUGUUGAUUUUUUCGAGAAUCUUAUCACAAAUCAAAUUCAAAAUAAAUUGGAGUUUAAAUACGAAGCAUUAUGGGAGAAGAAAUCCAUGCAACUAAAUGGCCUUCAGUGACUUCUUGACUCUUAGUGUUUUAAUUUGCGAAUGCUGAUAUUGGUCUUGCCAUGGGGAUUCAAGGAACUGAAGCGGCAAAAGAGAGCUCAGGCAUCAUUAUACGGAACGACACCAGUCAUGACUGUCGUUUUUAAGGACCUUAAGCGUGAUCCGCUUCAAAUCAACUCAAUUCCCUUGGACGCGCACGAUAUCGUAAAAUACCACUUUAACUCUGGGUGCGUGAAGACUGGGAUUCCAUAGUGGAUGGGAUUGCAGAUUCUCCGGGGAAAUUCAUAGCAAAGGGUGGAUGGAUGUUUCAGAUCUCGAGGACCCUUCUACAAGUCCGACUAUACUAGACUGAUUCAGAUGAGGAAGAUUAAGAAAGUGAUAAUACAUUGUUGAGUGAGAGGAAAAAUGAAUGAGACUAAAUCAUUAAGCAAUUCGAAAUCAAAAUGUA